rnacentral:lncRNA from 1 species
GGGAUUGUUGCUACGCCGGUCGCUUCCUCCCCACUCCUCUUAUAUCAAAAAAAAUAUAUUUUAAAUUUAUAAUAUUUUUAUUUUAUCAAAAAAAAUUAUGGUACUUUUUAUCAAAAAAAAAAUUAUGAUCCCUAAAUCACAGAAAAUAUAUCAUCAAGGCUGAAGCCCGCCAUUUAGCAGGCCAUGCUGAAGGAAAUAGUAAAAUGGCUGAACG